AUGGCUCAGAUUAAACGCUGGCGGCAGGCCUAACACAUGCAAGUCGAGCGGUAGCACAAGAGAGCUUGCUCUCUGGGUGACGAGCGGCGGACGGGUGAGUAAUGUUUGGGAAACUGCCUGAUGGUGGGGGAUAACUAGUGGAAACGGUAGCUAAUACCGCAUAAUGUCGCAAGACCAAAGUGGGGGACCUUCGGGCCUCACGCCAUCAGAUGUGCCCAGAUGGGAUUAGCUGUUAGGUGGGGUAAUGGCUCACCUAGGCGACGAUCCCUAGCUGGUCUGAGAGGAUGACCAGCCACACUGGAACUGAGACACGGUCCAGACUCCUACGGGAGGCAGCAGUGGGGAAUAUUGCACAAUGGGCGCAAGCCUGAUGCAGCCAUGCCGCGUGUGUGAAGAAGGCCUUCGGGUUGUAAAGCACUUUCAGCGAGGAGGAAGGGUAAUGUGU
rnacentral:rRNA from 1 species